rnacentral:rRNA from 1 species
GAUGAACGCUGGCGGCGUGCCUAAUACAUGCAAGUCGAGCGAACAGACGAGGAGCUUGCUCCUCUGACGUUAGCGGCGGACGGGUGAGUAACACGUGGAUAACCUACCUAUAAGACUGGGAUAACUUCGGGAAACCGGAGCUAAUACCGGAUAAUAUAUUGAACCGCAUGGUUCAAUAGUGAAAGACGGUUUUGCUGUCACUUAUAGAUGGAUCCGCGCCGCAUUAGCUAGUUGGUAAGGUAACGGCUUACCAAGGCAACGAUGCGUAGACGACCUGAGAGGGUGAUCGGCCACACUGGAACUGAGACACGGUCAAGACUCCUACGGGAGGCAGCAGUAGGGAAUCUUCCGCAAUGGGCGAAAGCUUGACGGAGCAACGCCGCGUGAGUGAUGAAGGUCUUCGGAUCGUAAAACUCUGUUAUUAGGGAAGAACAAAUGUGUAAGUAACUAUGCACGUCUUGACGGUACCUAAUCAGAAAGCCACGGCUAACUACGUG